CCUACGGGUGGCAGCAGUGAGGAAUAUUGGUCAAUGGACGAGAGUCUGAACCAGCCAAGUAGCGUGAAGGAUGACUGCCCUAUGGGUUGUAAACUUCUUUUAUAUGGGAAUAAAAUGUUCCACGUGUGGGAUUUUGUAUGUACCAUAUGAAUAAGGAUCGGCUAACUCCGUGCCAGCAGCCGCGGUAAUACGGAGGAUCCGAGCGUUAUCCGGAUUUAUUGGGUUUAAAGGGAGCGUAGGUGGAUUGUUAAGUCAGUUGUGAAAUUUUGCGGCUCAAACGUAAAAUUGCAGUUGAAACUGGCAGUCUUGAGUACAGUAGAGGUGGGCGGAAUGCGUGGUGUAGCGGUGAAAUGCAUAGAUAUCACGAAGAACUCCGAUUGCGAAGGCAGCUCACUGGACUGCAACUGACACUGAGGCUCGAAAGUGUGGGUAUCAAACAGGAUUAGAUACCCGGGUAGUC
rnacentral:rRNA from 1 species